rnacentral:lncRNA from 1 species
CAACAGCUAAUCAUUUCUAGAAAGCCAUUGUAAUACAGCUUGUCAUCAUCCGACCGUACUAUGUAACAGAAAGACAUGUUUAUUUGAGUUGAUUAUUCAUCCAUUUGUAGCAAAGCAAUGUAUGAUCCAUUAUGAUAAAACAAACAACAACUUUGAGAUUUUCAUUAAUUUAUGAUGAUCUAAUAGUAGAUCGGGCUAUAGAAGUGCCUAAAUCGAACCCAAUUGGUUCAGAUUAUUAUUGGGUCUAGAUGUGAACCGGUUGUUGGAUUCAUACAUCUUACUU